rnacentral:rRNA from 1 species
UACAGAGGUCUCAAGCGUUGUUCGGAUUCAUUGGGCGUAAAGGGUGCGUAGGCGGCGCGGUAAGUCGGGUGUGAAAUCUCGGAGCUUAACUCCGAAACUGCAUUCGAUACUGCCGUGCUUGAGGACUGGAGAGGAGACUGGAAUUUACGGUGUAGCGGUGAAAUGCGUAGAUAUCAGGAGGAACACCAAUUGCGAAGGCAGCUCGCUGGGACGUUACUGACGCUGAGAUGCGAAAGCGUGGGGAGCAAACAGG